GCGGACGUGGCGGAAUCGGUUUACGCGUACGCUUGAGGGGCGUAUGGCCGCAAGGCCGUGUGGGUUCGAGUCCCACCGUCCGCACCA
rnacentral:tRNA from 1 species